AGCCUUCUAUAUCCGUGCUGAGAUUUCGUCACACACUAGACCAUAAUGGCUGGUCAGAAUCCCAAGAUAAGUAAAGCG
rnacentral:pre_miRNA from 1 species